CUCUGGAAGCUGUCAGAAUCUUGCUGGAAAAGAUGCUUAUCGUGACACGGUAUCCAGAACCACACCUGGUUUCUGCAUGCCCUUUCCAGGCUCUCCAGUCUCCCCGUCAGUGCUGCUCCACAGGUCUCAAGCUGAUCAGCUGCGUGGAACAUGUUCAAAACAGAUGCUCAGGCUGUGCUCUCCGGAGCCCUGGGUGGAACGUUCCCUGGAAGUCAGAGUUCCUGUGGGUGCUGACCACUUGCCUUCUUGAGGCUCCUUUGGCUUUUCCUUUUGGGAAUAAUGCCAGAGAGGUCACUGUUUCCAGUUCGGAAUAUUCCUUUCAGUCUUUGUGA